UUAACUGAACAGGGGAGCUUACAGAUAGGCUGAGAGGAAGCUGUGCGCUUCGACCCUAAACCUGAUUUGGAUAAUGCCAACGUAGGGAAUGUUUGCAGAUAGCGGCA
rfam:Phascolarctobacterium sp. CAG:266 genomic scaffold, scf171